UGGGGAAUAUUGGACAAUGGGGGCAACCCUGAUCCAGCCAUGCCGCGUGAGUGAUGAAGGCCUUCGGGUUGUAAAGCUCUUUUGGCGGGGACGAUGAUGACGGUACCCGCAGAAUAAGCCCCGGCUAACUUCGUGCCAGCAGCCGCGGUAAGACGAAGGGGGCUAGCGUUGUUCGGAAUUACUGGGCGUAAAGCGAGUGUAGGCGGUUGCCCAAGUCAGGUGUGAAAGCCUUGAGCUCAACUCAAGAAAUGCACUUGGUACUGGGUGGCUAGAGGACCGGAGAGGAUAGUGGAAUUCCCAGUGUAGUGGUGAAAUACGUAGAGAUUGGGAAGAACACCAGUGGCGAAGGCGGCUAUCUGGACGGUUACUGACGCUAAGACUCGAAAGCGUGGGGAGCAAACAGG
rnacentral:rRNA from 2 species